ACGGUGGCUCCGCGCUGGCGGCGGGUUCCCCCACAAGGUCUUGGGGAAAGGAGCAUGCGCUGGAAGCUGUGUGCUGUUGGUUUUGAGGAUCUUCAGUAAGCUGAAAGCGGAGAGUCAGGGGCCUUGUGUCCUACCAUGGUAUUUGCUAACGUUUAGAGAGUGCUUCCCCUUGCCGAGCACUGGCAAGAAGGCCCUCACCAGAUGCCAGCACCUUGACAUUGGACUUUCCAGCCUCCAGAAAUAUCACUCCUUUAUUGUACAGAUCAGGAAAAAGGAUUUAGUACUGCUAUGCUCAAAUGAACACUGGGCCCAUGUGUCAGGGCCAAGCAACUAGAACAUGAUUCAGAAAUCAGUCAGAGAGAGACACACUUGGACAAGACCAAGAGGCAUUUCAUUGUCACGAAACAAGGUGGGGGAGGGAUUCCAAAACACACAGCAGGAAGUACUUCUAACCCUCAGAGGUCAAGGAGCUUAUUCCAUGUUGGUAUGAGGAAUGGCUUAUUUUCUGAUGACCACAUGUGGGACUAUUUCAACUGCCACGAGAAAUCCCAGAAGGAUUAUUGUUUUGUAUUAUUUAUAUAUACUAUACCUUUUUAAAAAAAUAAAAUAAAUGUAACACAUAAA
rnacentral:lncRNA from 10 species